rnacentral:rRNA from 1 species
AUUGAUCGCUGGCGGCAGGCCUAACACAUGCAAGUCGAACGAGUGGCGGACGGGUGAGUAAUGUCUGGGAAACUGCCUGAUGGAGGGGGAUAACUACUGGAAACGGUAGCUAAUACCGCAUACCAUCGGAUGUGCCCAAGUGGGAUUAGCUUGUUGGUGGGGUAACGGCUCACCAAGGCGACGAUCCCUAGCUGGUCUGAGAGGAUGACCAGCAACACUGGAACUGAGACACGGCCCAGACUCCUACGGUAGGCAGCAGUGGGGAAUAUUGCGCAAUGGGGGCAAGCCUGAUGCAGCCAUGCCGCGUGAAUGAAGAAGGCCUUCGGGUUGUAAAGUACUUUCAGCGGGGAGGCGUUACCUGCAGAAGAAGCACCGGCUAACUCCGUGCCAGCAGCCGCGGUAAUAC